rnacentral:rRNA from 1 species
UACGAAGGGGGCUAGCGUUGCUCGGAAUCACUGGGCGUAAAGCGCACGUAGGCGGGUCCUUAAGUCGGGGGUGAAAUCCUGGAGCUCAACUCCAGAACUGCCUUCGAUACUGAGGAUCUCGAGUCCGGGAGAGGUGAGUGGAACUCCGAGUGUAGAGGUGAAAUUCGUAGAUAUUAGGAAGAACACCAGUGGCGAAGGCGGCUCACUGGUCCGGUACUGACGCUGAGGUGCGAAAGCGUGGGGAGCAAACAGG